rnacentral:rRNA from 1 species
UACAGAGGUCUCAAGCGUUGUUCGGAUUCAUUGGGCGUAAAGGGUGUGUAGGUGGCGCGUAAGUCGGGUGUGAAAUUCGAGGCUUAACUCCGAAACUGCAUUCGAUACUGCCGUGCUUGAGGACUGGAGAGGAGACUGGAAUUUACGGUGUAGCAGUGAAAUGCGUAGAUAUCGUAAGGAAGACCAGUGGCGAAGGCGGGUCUCUGGACGAGUUCCUGA